GGCGAACGGGUGCGGUAACACGCUGAGAAACCUGCCCCGGUCUCUGGAAUAACAGUUGGAAACGACUGCUAAUACCGGAUGCCGUCGGACCAUCGCAUGGUGGACCGACGAAAGGGUUACCGGACCGGGAGGGUCUCGCGGCCUAUCAGCUUGUUGGUGAGGUAACGGCUCACCAAGGCAUCGACGGGUAGCUGGUCUGAGAGGAUGGUCAGCCACACUGGGACUGAGACACGGCCCAGACUCCUACGGGAGGCAGCAGUAGGGAAUAUUGCACAAUGGGCGAAAGCCUGAUGCAGCAACGCCGCGUGCGGGAAGAAGGCCCUAGGGUUGUAAACCGCUUUCAGCAGGGAAGAAAAUGACGGUACCUGCAGAAGAAGGUGCGGCCAACUACGUGCCAGCAGCCGCGGUGACACGUAGGCACCAAGCGUUGUCCGGAUUUAUUGGGCGUAAAGAGCUC
rnacentral:rRNA from 1 species